UAGCUGUUCCUUGCAGCCCAUGCGGCCUC
rnacentral:sRNA from 1 species